CAGAUUAGCUAGUUGGUGAGGUAAAGGCUCACCAAGGCGACGAUCUGUAGCGGGUCUGAGAGGAUGAUCCGCCACACUGGAACUGAGACACGGUCCAGACUCCUACGGGAGGCAGCAGUGGGGAAUUUUGGACAAUGGGGGCAACCCUGAUCCAGCCAUGCCGCGUGAGUGAAGAAGGCCUUCGGGUUGUAAAGCUCUUUCGGCCGGGAAGAAAUCGUAUGGGUUAAUACCCUGUGCGGAUGACGGUACCGGCAUAAGAAGCACCGGCUAACUACGUGCCAGCAGCCGCGGUAAUACGUAGGGUGCGAGCGUUAAUCGGAAUUACUGGGCGUAAAGCGUGCGCAGGCGGUUUUGUAAGACAGGCGUGAAAUCCCCGGGCUCAACCUGGGAACUGCGCUUGUGACUGCAAGGCUAGAGUAUGGCAGAGGGGGGUGGAAUUCCACGUGUAGCAGUGAAAUGCGUAGAGAUGUGGAGGAACACCAAUGGCGAAGGCAGCCCCCUGGGCCAAUACUGACGCUCAUGCACGAAAGCGUGGGUAGCAAACAGGAUUAGAUACCCUGGUAGUCCACGCCCUAAACGAUGUCAACUAGGUGUUGGGUGGGUAAAACCAUUUAGUACCGGAGCUAACGCGUGAAGUUGACCGCCUGGGGAGUACGGCCGCAAGGUUAAAACUCAAAGGAAUUGACGGGGACCCGCACAAGCGGUGGAUGAUGUGGAUUAAUUCGAUGCAACGCGAAAAACCUUACCUACCCUUGACAUGUCCAGGAGCCUGAAGAGAUUUGGGUGUGCCCGAAAGGGAACUGGAACACAGGUGCUGCAUGGCUGUCGUCAGCUCGUGUCGUGAGAUGUUGGGUUAAGUCCCGCAACGAGCGCAACCCUUGUCGUUAAUUGCCAUCAUUUAGUUGGGCACUUUAACGAGACUGCCGGUGACAAACCGGAGGAAGGUGGGGAUGACGUCAAGUCCUCAUGGCCCUUAUGGGUAGGGCUUCACACGUCAUACAAUGGUCGGUACAAAGGGUUGCCAACCCGCGAGGGGGAGCCAAUCCCAGAAAGCCGAUCGUAGUCCGGAUCGCAGGCUGCAACUCGCCUGCGUGAAGUCGGAAUCGCUAGUAAUCGUGGAUCAGCAUGUCACGGUGAAUACGUUCCCGGGUCUUGUACACACCGCCCGUCACACCAUGGGAGCGGGUUCCGCCAGAAGUAGGUAGCCUAACCGCAAGGGGGGCGCUUACCACGGCGGGGUUCGUGACUGGGGUGAAGUCGUAACAAGGUA
rnacentral:rRNA from 1 species